rnacentral:rRNA from 1 species
GAUGAACGCUGGCGGCGUGCCUAAUACAUGCAAGUCGAGCGAACGGACGAGAAGCUUGCUUCUCUGAUGUUAGCGGCGGACGGGUGAGUAACACGUGGAUAACCUACCUAUAAGACUGGGAUAACUUCGGGAAACCGGAGCUAAUACCGGAUAAUAUUUUGAACCGCAUGGUUCAAAAGUAAAAGACGGUCUUGCUGUCACUUAUAGAUGGAUCCGCGCUGCAUUAGCUAGUUGGUAAGGUAACGGCUUACCAAGGCAACGAUGCAUAGCCGACCUGAGAGGGUGAUCGGCCACACUGGAACUGAGACACGGUCCAGACUCCUACGGGAGGCAGCAGUAGGGAAUCUUCCGCAAUGGGCGAAAGCCUGACGGAGCAACGCCGCGUGAGUGAUGAAGGUCUUCGGAUCGUAAAACUCUGUUAUUAGGGAAGAACAUAUGUGUAAGUAACUGUGCACAUCUUGACGGUACCUAAUCAGAAAGCCACGGCUAACUACGUGCCAGCAGCCGCGGUAAUACGUAGGUGGCAAGCGUUAUCCGGAAUUAUUGGGCGUGAAGCGCGCGCAGCGGUUUUUUAAGUCUGAAGUUAAGGCUGUGGCUUAACCAUAGUACGCUUUGGAAACUGUUUAACUUGAGUGCAAGAGGGGAGAGUGGAAUUCCAUGUGUAGCGGUGAAAUGCGUAGAUAUAUGGAGGAACACCGGUGGCGAAAGCGGCUCUCUGGCUUGUAACUGACGCUGAGGCUCGAAAGCGUGGGGAGCAAACAGGAUUAGAUACCCUGGUAGUCCACGCCGUAAACGAUGAGUGCUAGGUGUUAGACCCUUUCCGGGGUUUAGUGCCGUAGCUAACGCAUUAAGCACUCCGCCUGGGGAGUACGACCGCAAGGUUGAAACUCAAAGGAAUUGACGGGGGCCCGCACAAGCGGUGGAGCAUGUGGUUUAAUUCGAAGCAACGCGAAGAACCUUACCAGGUCUUGACAUCCCUCUGACAACUCUAGAGAUAGAGUUUUCCCCUUCGGGGGACAAAGUGACAGGUGGUGCAUGGUUGUCGUCAGCUCGUGUCGUGAGAUGUUGGGUUAAGUCCCGCAACGAGCGCAACCCUUAAGCUUAGUUGCCAUCAUUAAGUUGGGCACUCUAAGUUGACUGCCGGUGACAAACCGGAGGAAGGUGGGGAUGACGUCAAAACAUCAUGCCCCUUAUGAUUUGGGCUACACACGUGCUACAAUGGACAAUACAAAGGGCAGCGAAACCGCGAGGUCAAGCAAAUCCCAUAAAGUUGUUCUCAGUUCGGAUUGUAGUCUGCAACUCGACUACAUGAAGCUGGAAUCGCUAGUAAUCGUAGAUCAGCAUGCUACGGUGAAUACGUUCCCGGGUCU